UACGUAGGUGGCGAGCGUUGUCCGGAUUUACUGGGCGUAAAGAGCGCGCAGGCGGUCGUUCAAGUCGCGUGUGAAAGCCCCCGGCUCAACUGGGGAGGGUCACGCGAUACUGAUCGACUCGAAGGCAGGAGAGGGAAGUGGAAUUCCCGGUGUAGUGGUGAAAUGCGUAGAGAUCAGGUGGAACACCGAUGGCGAAGGCAGCCUCCUGGACGGGUACUGACGCUGAGGCGCGAAAGCGUGGGGAGCGAACGGG
rnacentral:rRNA from 1 species